GAAGAAAUUAAAUGCAAAUUAAUAUUAAUAUUAGAGGCAAAAUUGUUGGCCAAAAAAGAAAGAAAAAGGCAAACACUUUCCUAAUCUUUAUAUAACCUCCAUCAUCAAAGGACCAUUCAUUAUUCUCACUCUCAAAUCUCAAGUUCAUUAGAGUCUUGUGGGUUGCCAUUUUUAGGUCUCUCUAUAAAUUCAAAUGUUCUGUUCAAUUCAAUGCCUCGCCAGACAUCUGUUCCCUUUGCAUGUAAGAGAGAUAAAGAAAGCGACAAAAGCCAUAAAGAAAGAUCUCUGAAGUUGGGUUGGUUGUGAGUGAAAGAGUUGGGACAAGAGAAACGCAAAGAAACUGACAGAAGAGAGUGAGCACACAAAGGCAAUUUGCAUAUCAUUGCAUUUGCUUCUCUUGCGUGCUCACUGCUCUUUCUGUCAGAUUCCGGUGCUGAUCUCUUUGGCCUGUCCUCGAUCUCUUUGUCUCAAUCUCUCUCACAAAAACAGUCUGAUUCUCUCUUGUUCAUGUCCAAAUUAAGGUAAGAAGAUACGAUCUAAACGCUGGCUUGUUCUUGUUUCUAGAUUUUGGUUCGAUCUACUUGCAUGCGGGAAGAGACCUUUAGCCUUUAAUCAUUCAUAAUAUUUUAAGAGAUGGAUAGUAUCGAAAAAGCUUAAUCUAUGAGUUAACGCGUGGUUAAGUGAGAUUAGCGAUGUAACCUAGUUUUUAAUAGGCUGGUCCUUAAUAUUUCUCGAGUCAUGUAUAUAUUAUAUCGUUUAAUUUCUUUUGCUUCUCUGUCUCUCGAGGCGUUUAAUUCCCUAGUUUCCUUUGUAUAUAUACUCAUAUAUGUAAUAUAUUAUAUUCAUGCGAUCAUAUUGAUCUCAUUUUGCGUGUAUAAGUUGUUACAAGGUCAUGAUAUUUGCAUUAUAAGAAUGAGUCGUUACUUUUCUUGUUAUUUAAAUGGUUUGCUCGUACAUUUUUAUUCCAUGAGGUACAUGAUUAGCUUAUUAGUGUAACAAAAGGGUAUAUGUUAAUAUAUAUAUUAUUCGUACUUAACAUUUUUUAUGUAGAUUUGAUUCCAUGUUACAUUUGUGUAAAUGAAUAUUGUGAGAAUAUUCUUUUAGGGGUCUGGUUUGUUAGAUUAAUUUGAGAACAUGUUCAUUUGCAACUGCAUUUCAAACACACACAUUUUGUAUGCAAAACUAAUACAGCCUAUAAUGUAUGAGUUUGUUCAAUAGGUGGCACAAGUUGAUGUGUCAUGUCUUCCCACUUUUGUACUGUUAAUGCUGUUGAAACAUUUUGGUGUUUGUCGACAAAAUAUCAAUACUACAAUUAAUUUUGGUCCUACUGUUACACCUUUUUUUUUUAACUUGGGUAAGUGAGUCGUUGGACUGAAAUCACGAUGAUUAUGUGGUCAAAUAUUUGUAUCUUGUAUAUUUGUAUCUUCUGUGGUUGUGAUGGUUGCAUUCUUUACAACAUAUUUCUAGAUUUAAUUGAAGUCAAUAGUCAAUACUGAUAUUUCUGAAGCGAUUGGGAAAUUUGGAAGACAUGGAAUAUUGGUGGACUUUGUGUUUCUGACUUGAAUGAUUUCAGAGUAGUAGUUGAUUCCAGCUUUAUUAGUUCGUUUGCGCUCUGUAGAAUGUAAAUUCAUAUGUCCUUUUAUUGAAGAAGGUUCCAGUAAUUUGUACUCCCUUUGUUUAUAGAUGUUUGAUGUUUUAGACUUUUUGUUUGUUCCACAAAGAUUGGUGUUUUA